CAAGAAGCACCUGGAUGACCUGAUCAAGGACCGGGACUCCUGGAAGGCCAACUGUUGCAAGAUCUGGAAGGGAGUGUCCCCGGUCCUGGACCUGAUCAGUCCCGAGCUCCCGGAGAGCCAGCCCCGCGCGCCGCAGUUGACCCCAGUCGAGAAGGCGCAACGGGCGUGGGACUGGCUCCAGCAGUUUGUGAAGGACGCCGGGGAGUUUGCCGGCGCGCACGUCCUCAGCAUGGUGCGCGCCCACUACCCCCUGGUUGACUUGAGCAGGCUGGAGAAGGGGUACCCAAAGGAAGUCGGCCCACAGGAAGCGGACGAACUUCGGGGUAGUCUGCUAGAUUUGUCGUCGACUGUGAUCGGCGACAUCAACCUGUGCGGAACGGCCACUCCUCCAGACCAGCCGAGCUCAGAUAGGUCGGCCAGGGAGUUGUCGGGCGCGUCCGUUGCUGGAGAUGGGCGGUCGACGCCUGCGGUCUCGACCAGCCAGGCGCCGGUGGCCCCGACCCCUUCGUCCGGGCAGCAAGGCCAGGCGGGUGAUCAGCCCGAGCAGCUAGGCCAAUAAAGUAGUCUGUAGGAAUAGACUAGUAUCUGCCCGUCAGGGUGUUUAUUGUAAACUUUGUAUGUAAAGUUUGUAAUAAAGUUUUCUUGUUUUUGUCAUGACUGUUGUUUUGAGCGCUGUAAGAAUAUCUGAGUGACGUGUCACCGUAUUUGUCUUGGUUGUCGCCAAGAUCGUCCAUUGCAGGAGUUUUGCCGGGUGCUGCGUACGACAAAGUAUAGGCGAGAAAUAUAGAAUCUUAUUAUCAAAAACUAUAAGAUACUUACAAAAGAAAGUCAUUAAAACUUUAUGGAUAGAAUCGUCGCAGUUUGUCGAUGUGCCAAGAGUUAGGCACUCGUGUUCCGUCUGGGUAUGCCAAUCUGUAGGACGUAGGUCGUGUGACAUCGGUCACCACGAAGGGUCCUUCCCAGGGAGUGGAUAACUUGUGCAUUCCCUCCUGGUUCGUUUUCCAUCGAAGCACCAGAUCGCCGACCACAAAGGAACGGUCCUUGACGUUUCUGUUGUAGUAUCGCCUGACUGCCGCGAGAUAUUUUGCUGUUCGGAGACAUGAAACUAAACGAUUUUCCUCCAUGCAAUUGACCUCGAGUUCUCUGGCGUUGUCGGCAGUUGCCUCGUCGUAGUGCUCGAUUCUAGGAGAUCCGAAGUGUAUGUCGGCCGGCAGGACCGCCUCUGCACCGUAUACCAUGAAGUAGGGAGACACCCCUGUGUUUCGACUGGUCUGGGUUCGGAGGCCCCAGACUACUGCCGGCAAUUCUCUCAUCCAUCGACCGGGUGCUCUGUCGUUUUCGGUGUACAGCCUCUUCUUUAGGGCGUCAACGAUCAUUCCAUUAGCACGUUCGACUUGACCGUUAGCACGUGGAUGUGCUACUGACACAUAUUUUAUGACUAUGCCUCUGUCAUCGCAGAAAUCCCAAAAAGUGGUGCCAGUAAACUGAGUGCCCAGGUCGGUGAUUAUGCUGUUCGGGAUGCCGAAUCUGUGUAUGAUUUGAUUGAGAAACUCCACGGCCUUCUCGGAGGUUGCCUUGACCAAGGGCAUGUAUUCGAUCCACUUGGAGAACUUGUCGAUUAGCACGAAGACAAACUUGAAAUUGCCCGGGGCUGGUUUAAAUGGUCCGAUCAUGUCAAGCCCCCAGCAAGCAAAGGGCCAAGACGACGGGAUAGUCUGAAUUUCAUGGGCAGGUACGUGGGUCCUCUUAGCGAAAAACUGACAUCCUUCGCAAUGCCGAACCAGUUUUUCUGCGUCGCCGACCGCGGUUGGCCAAUAAAAACCUGCUCGGAAAGCCUUUCCGACCAGCGUUCUAGAUGCGGCGUGGUUGCCGCAGGAUCCAGCGUGUAUGUCUUCCAAGAGUUUGAUACCAUCAUCUUGGGGUAUGCACUUGAGCAGUACUUCGGAGCUUGCGUUUUUCCGCAUGAGUUUUCCGUCGACCAGGAUGUAGUUCUUUGAUCGUCGGAUGAGGCGCUCGUUCUCUGUUUUGUCCUGAUAGCCUGUUCCGUCUGAUAUGUAUUUGAUGAACGGGGUGCGCCAGUCACGCCCACCGGUUGCCGGAGUGGCGUCAUCUAUGAGCAUUGCCUCGGUGGGUUGCUUGUCGACCAGGGGAGGGCUUACGCUUGGCUCAUGGAUGUCCUGGACAAAAAUACCCCGCGGGAUCUGGGCCCGAGAUGAGCCUAACUUUGACAACGCAUCUGCUGCUUGGUUCUUGUCCCGGACCACGUGGAUGUACUCUAUGCCAUAGAAGUUAGUUUCCCAUUUGCGAAUUUCUUUGCAGUAGAGAUCCAUCUUCUCGUGGGUUGCGUCCCACUCCUUGUUGAGCUGGUUGAUGACCAAGGCAGAGUCGCCGUAGACAUAGAGGCGCUUGACCCCCAGUUCAACGGCUAGUCGUAUGCCGUGUAAGCAUGCUUCGUAUUCGGCGACGUUAUUUGACGCCGGGAAAAGGAUCCUAAGGACGUAGCGGAGUUUGUCCUUGUUGGGUGAUACGAACAGUAUCCCAGCGCCUGCACCGUUGAUGUUCAAGGACCCAUCGAAGAACAUAGACCAGUGGUCUGAGACAUCGGGAAUGGAAGGUUCGUUGAGAUCCGUCCAUUCGGCAAUGAAAUCGACCAGGGCUUGGGACUUGACAGUGGUGCGACUCUGGAACUCCAGGGAAAAUGGACAUAAUUCCAUUGCCCAUUUCACGAUUCUGCCAUUGGCGUCUUUAUUGCGCAGGAUGUCACCGAGAGGAAAGCUGGUUGUCACCAGGACUCGAUGGCCGUCGAAGUAGUGCUUCAGUUUUCUUGACGUUAUCAGGAUGGCGUAUAUAAGCUUCUGUAUUUGUGGGUACCUGGCCUUGGAUUCGUUUAAAACUUCGCUUAUGAAGUAAACGGGUCUCUGGACCUUGAAGACGUGACCUGGUUCAUCUCGCUCGACCACUAUUGCCGUAGAAACAACCCUGUCGGUUGCAGCAAUGCAAAGGAGCAGGUCUUCAUUAGGCUGAGGCGCUGUGAGGACAGGCGGUGAAGUGAGGAAGAUCUUAAGCUGAGUGAACGCAGCGUUGGCUUCUUCGGUCCAGGAGAAUUUUUCUGACGCUUUCAAUAGUUUGAAGAAAGGGAGGCCUUUUUCUCCCAGCCUUGAGAUGAAACGACUGAGGGCGGCCAUGCAUCCGGUUAGCUUCUGAAUGUCCUUGACGUUCUUCGGUGGUCGCAUGUCGAGUACGGCUUUGACUUUUGAAGGGUUUGGUCGUAUGCCGUCGCGACGGACGACGUUGCCGAGCAGUAGACCGGAAGGAACGCCGAAAAUGCAUUUCUUGGGGUUGAGCUUCCACUUGUACCUAUUGAGUGCCUUGAAGGUUCGGUCUAAGUUGUCGAUCAGGGUGCUCGCGUCCCUUGUUUUCACGACCACGUCGUCCACGUAGGCCUCGACGAGGUCAUCGCGAAUCUCGUCGUGGAGGCAUUGCUGGAUGGCCCUUUGAUAAGUGGCCCCGGCGUUUUUAAGUCCGAAAGACAUGGUAGUGUAACAGUAUGCGCCGAAGGGUGUGAUGAAGGAUGUUUUGAUCUGAUCUUCUUCCUUUAACGAGAUCUGGUGAUAACCAGAGUAGCAAUCUAGAAAGGAGAGGAGUUCGCAUCCGGCCGUUGAGUCGACCACCUCGUCGAUGCGAGGAAGACCAAAAGGAUCUUUAGGACAGUGCUUGUUGAGAUCGGUGUAAUCAACGCACAUUCUCCAUUCAUUAUUCUUUUUGCGUACAAGAACCGGAUUGGCGAGCCAAUCGGGAUGAUACACCUCUUUUAUGAAUCCGGCUGCUAGAAGCCGUGUUAUCUCUGUCCUAAUAGCCUCCUUUUUGUCACGAGCGAACCGUCGCAGUUUUUGCUUGAUUGGUCUUGCGGUCUUCGAGACGUUUAAGGAGUGCUCGAUCAGGUUUCGUGGGACACCGGGCAUGUCUGCGGGUUUCCAUGCGAAAACGCUCACGUUGUCCCUUAGAAACCUGACGAGCGCGUCUUCCUAUUUUGGAUCCAGGUUAGCCCCGAUGAGGGCUGUCUUCUCGGGGUUACCUUCGACCAGCUGCACUUCUUUGUACUCCUUGGAUUUCGAAUUCUUUCUGGCUGUCUCUUGUUCGGGCAAUCGGAGCUGGUCGGGGGGCAGCUGUGCGGCUUGGGUUGCUGUUUCCGCCAUGCGGAUUGAGAGGUCAAUUGCCUCGGUGAUCUUGAAACUUUCUUCUUCGCAGGUGUACGCAGUAUAGACGUUGCCUCUGACGGUCAGGACGCCCUUCUCCGUGGGCAUCUUAAGCACCAGGUAUGAGUAGUGCGGGACUGCCAUGAACUUUGUCAGUGAUGGGCGGCCCAGUAUGGCGUGGUAGGUCCCGUCGAAGUCCGCGACUACGAAGUUGAUGAACUCCGUCCGGAAGUGAUCGGGUGUGCCGAAUUGGACAGGCAAUGUUAUCUGUCCGAGGGGCACCGAACUUUGACCUGGCAAAACCCCCCAGAAUUGGGCGUCGUAAGGUUUUAGUUGCGCCGGUGGUAUCUUGAGGGCGGGCAGGCUGUUGCGGAAGAGGAUGUCGAUGGAGCUUCCCCCGUCCACGAGCACGCGCUCGAAUCUGAUGCUAUUGAUGCAGGGAUCAAGAAUCAGUGGGAAACGGCCCGGCUCUGGGAUAGCGGCCCACUGGUCCUUCCUGCUGAACGCGAUCUCCCUGUGGGACCAGGCGGGAAAUUUCGGAUCUGCGAUCAGCCCGUCCGUGCUGUCUAUGUUGAGGCAGGCUCUCUUUAACAGUUUUCUUUCUCGCUUGGACUCAGUGGAGACCUUGCCCCCGAAAAUGGAGUGAACCACGUCAGUAGGGCUGACAUAUUGGUGUCGGGGGUCCCUGUCUUGGUCCUCAUCUUCAUCUUCGUGGUCGUGCCCGUCGCGUUUGCUACUUUUCUUGGCGGUGUCUUCUUGGGCGGCCCGCCGUGUAUAGAUACUUUUGAGGACGCGGCACUCUUCCAUGGUAUGGUUAGACUUCGGGUGUAGCUGGCACGGUCCCUUCAACGUUUUGUUGUAGUCGUCUUGGUAGUCCCGUCGUCCAUUGGGACGUUUGACCGUGUUUACUUCGUGGUCGUAUUCGCGAGGGCGCUUUCCUCUGAAGUCGUCGCGGCUGUCGCGCCGCCGAUCCCAACCCUCUCGGUGAUCGCGGUUGUCGGAGCGGCGAUGAUUUCUGUUGUCGUAGCGACCACGACCGUCGUCUCGCCGGGAGGGCUGGUCGGUGCCUCUCGCAUCGUCUCGGAUUAGUUUUUCUGCGUCGUCAGCAUCGGCGUAAUUUUUAGCCGUGGCGAGGAGCUCUGCUACCGUUGAUGGGCGCUUACGCAAUAGCUUGUUCCUCAGCGCUUCAUGGAAACGCAAACCCUUGAUAAAGGCUGAUAUGGCUUCGUCAUGAGAAAUCUUCGGGAUUUUGAGACGCAUAUCCGAGAAUCGUCGGAUGUAAUCGCGCAGAGGUUCAUUCUUCCUGUCUCUUAUCCUUUCAAGGUCAUACUUGUUUCCGGGCUGCUCGCAUGUGGCGAUGAAGUUGUCGAUGAAAGCCUGUCGUAGCUCUUCCCAAGAGUCGAAGGAGUCCUCGGGCAAGCCGAGAAGCCACUGAUGACCAGCCUGGUCGAGGACUACGGGGAAGUAAUUAGCCAUGACGUGCUCAUCUCCUGCCGCUGAUCGGACGGCGAUUUCAUAGAGAGUGAUCCAGUUCUCUGGAUUUUCCUUGCCGUCGUAUUUUUUAAGUUUUUCGAGCUUGAAAUUGCGGGGCCACACGACCUGGCGGAGGUGUGAAGAGAACUGCCUUAGGCCCGGAGGACCGUGGGUCGCGUCGUACUCGAUGCGGCGCAGGUUUUCGUGGACUGCUCUUUCUGCGGCGCGCCUGUUGAUGCGGUCCCGGGCAUCUUUGGGAGGGAUGUUGUGGCGGAGAUCCCUGUGUUGAUCUUCUUCUUCCUGGCCGCGUACGCGGUCCUGCUGGCGGCGGCCAUCGGCGUCCCGACCACCGUCAUCGCGCCGUGAGUCCCCUCGACGGUUGUCGGGGGAGCGGCUGCGGCGACGCCUGCUGGGUGAGGCCCGGCUGCGAUGAGUCUGGUCGGAGGCGGCUUCCGUAUAAGAGGCGUCCUGGACUCUCUUGAGCAGAGUGGCUGUCUGUCCCAUUGCGGCGAUCAGGUGUGCUCGGAUACUGGUUCGGACUCCCUGGCAUUCGGGGGUGUCAGGAAGCCGAUCCAGAUUGGCCAUGGCGACAGCCACGUUGGCGCUUGGCGUUUUGUAGACCGGCUGGUCCCCGACCAUGUCGAAGGCAUCGUUGAGGUUGCCUGGCGACGUCUGUUGUUGCUCGUCUGCACGUCGUCGGGCGCGCUCGGCGUUACGCUGUUCGCGGAGUUGCCUCUGGUCGUCUGUUUCUCCGUCAACGGCUGGUUCGUCGGCGCUGACAUUGAAUACAAUAUCCCCUCGCCGGGGGGGAAUAUCGGGAAUUGGUCAAAACCCGGAGGGUGUGAAGGAAAAUCCAGGUCAUAGUCCUCGUCUUCGGUGUUCACAACCUCGGUGGGGACGGAGCCGGUGCUUGAGUUGGUGCUGGAAACCUGGCCAUCCCGUAGCUCUCGGAUGGUCACCAUGUUGACAUGGUGACGAUUGUUCCUUGUCGGCGACCAGCCCGCUUUGCUAAAAACGGAUUGGACAUGGUGUGAAUAAACAGAGGCCGAGUUGUUCAGGCCGCAAGGAUAGUCUUCCUUUUUGAGCUCGACGGAUCGUCCUGAGGGGGUUGAGGUUAUCGUCAGGGACGUUCCCAGCCGUUCGUGUGUGGUGACACGAGUUGGCCGGCGGAAUUUCGAAGAAUCCGCUCGAGCAGCUUGGUCGGGCCGGCGCAGAACUCCAUCUAUUAGUUGGGAGACUUCGAAUAGCUUGGAGUCAGCGCGAUCGAGCGCUUGGAGGAGGUCCGAGCAGUCGAUCUCCCUUCCCUUGUAGAGCGGGAACGGUGGUCGGGAGCUUGGUGUCGUCACGCGUGUGGUCGGAGACGACGUGAUCUCAGAUUGGAUCUGGAUCUCUUUCGGAACCGUGGUCGCGAAACCGCCGCUGCGCGUCGUCCACGUGAUUUGGCCGACGGUGAACGUGAGGCCUUCGGGCACGGUCGCGGAAGCUGGGAUCGUGACCAUCUUGUUCGCCGGAAAAGUUGCACGCACACCCCCUACCUGGCGCGCCACUGUCGACGAAAGCUGGUCGGCAGUCUACCUUGGGGUAUACCCACGGUAGUAGUUUAUCGGUAGACGGUGCGCAAACUACGAACUCGAUGGUGACGCAAGACACGGACAAGCUUUUUAUCCAGGUUCGGCCGCCGAGUUGGCGUAAUACCUACGUCCUGCGUCUGGUUGUAUUGAUUUGUGCUGAGAGAAUAUGAUGUCCCAGGGGGGGUCCCUUGCCCCUCCUUAUAUAGUCUGGAGGGCAGGGUUACAGAUCUAGAAACUAAUCCUAGUCGGUUACAAUUACCAUAGAUAAUUCGAUAUCAAUUCCUACUCUAACCGACUAGAAUCCUGCUUGAUCUCCACGUCUUGUUUCCUUGCACGAAACGUGGGCUGUCGGAUCAAGCCUUGAACUCGUCUCGUAGUGGGCCAAGCUUCCUAGCUGAAGUCUAGCCGUAAGGGUAUAGGGGUUUAUACCCCCACAGGGUCGGGCUUACGGCCCUUAAUAGAACCCAACCUAAGUGGAAACUUGGCCACGUUGGCCCAUAACAUUCAUGAUAACAAACCCCUCUGGCAUCGGCUGCAGGGGCCACGAGACGGCAAAGAGCGUUUGACUUGUCACCACCAACACCAAAGCAUCCAGAAGCCGCCGGCCCGGCCCGGCCGCGCGCUAGAGCGUUGGGGGAGCACCGGAGCAGCCGUUCUGCUGGCCGCUGCAUGUAGUGGCCAGACCGCCAGACGUCCAGAGCCAUCUUUCCGCAGCCAUUAUAGCUUUCGUGGACUCCGGCAUUUGGAUGUAGUACAUCCACCGGCAAGAUGACAAGGACCCAACAUGGCAGUCGGGGGUCGCCAGCAGGUGACCAGGGAGGGAGCGAAACGCCUCUUCCAGUCUUCGUGCUCAUCUGUCCAUGGCGGGCGGGCGGGCGGGCCUGAAACGAAGCUCACCAACCAGUGGUGGGCUGGACGGACCUGGUCGGCCGCCGGGCGAGAGGGUCCAAGCCCCAGGUCGGGCCCCUAGCUGCGUGGCACGGCACGUCGCCACUGCCGCCUUACCGGCAAGUGCAAGCCGUCGGCACGUGCAGCUCUGCCCUAAUUCGUACCCAAGAAGCACAUGCUGGCAUGCUCCCCCGAAUGCCCCAACAAGCCUCGCAUUGGUCACCGCACAUUGUCGAUGCGAGCGAGAAGGCAGGCGCGUGAGAUUUGAUGAGUGAGGAGUAAAAUACUACUCCUGUGCGGUGGAGCACGGCACGGCACGGCACGCCGGAGAACUGUACAGUCACGAGGCAACACCGUAUAACACGACAAAGAGAGGGGGUUGGUAUGGUGUGGUACCCCUUUUUACAGUCCAAAACUCUGAUAAACCCUACUAAUACAUACAGGAGUAGAUUACUUUUACUUGAAAGCGUCAGCCGCGAGUUUGAGUUUGACUCCAAGACCAAGUCCUGUACUGUACAGUCGCCGGUGAGCUCCAGCCCGGUCCGGCACUCCGGCCGACGCGUCUCCUCCACGACGGCGAGACGGGACGAGUCGGCGUGCAGUGCCCCUGCCAUUCUCUCCUCGUCGCGGGACGAUGCUGUUCCUCUCUUUCUACCUACUCCUACAGUCUACUACUCGUUUCGUGCUCCCGUCGGCGGGCCCCGAGCUGAGACGAGUCCAAUCGGUGCUGCAGCGGAUCAAGGUCUCUGAUUCCAUCUAAUAAAGAAACGUUGCUAAUCGAGCAGCUAGAAUUAGUUGUUAAUUGAGCUAGCUGGUCUAAAAACUCCUCGCCAUACGUCCAUACCAGUACAUACAAGGUUGUCUGAUGCUCUUCGAGUCUUUUCAGCCUAAAAACUCCGUAAAGAAUUCUGACACCGGAGUGGGACGGCGUGCCCUGCCGUGCUGUGCAGGCGCACCGGCCCGUGAGCUUCGUUUUCAGCUCUACUUCUCCGUAGCUCAUGCGUGCGAGACUGCUCAUCUCAUGAGAGGGCAGCUCGCUCUCGCUGUGACUGACUGAUGCCAUCGCAGGCAAGCAAACGAACGAGACGCCUUUUUUCCAGUCCGCGCUCCGGCGUGUCUGCCUGAGGACGCCUGCGUGUAGUCACCGCACCGGGACCGGGAUACUAGUACACGCACUCCCCGCCCUCGGCCCUUCCCUUGUACAUACAUAUAAACAAGUGUUGUGUGAUCGGCGGCCAGGGAGCUGCCCUUCCUUCCAGUCUCGCGGUCGCCGGAGAUAGGCCGGAUCGCCGCACCGUAGCGGUUACCUGCAGCCGACGGCAAUCGGAAAGGUCUGUUUUCGGGAUCUCGCGGGCUGCAUUCGGGAAAAAAAAAUGUCUGUUUUCGUGCAUCUCAUCCGUUGUGCUUCUGUUUUCAUGGAUGUGUACAAAGAUCGGUUUUUCGAGCGAGUUGAGCUGUUGCUGUCAUCGGUUCUUGUUCAGCUUUCUUUUUUGGAGCUCCUAGGAUUCAUAACUUCGGCGCCAUUUACUGCCUCUUUGGAUUUUAGACCUUACAACGACUUGUUUGUAGCAGCGAGCGAAUGCAAGCUUCUCCUAUUUGAUUGAUCUCGGGAGCUCCUCCGACACUGCGCGCAAUCCCAAAUUUGACACGGAAUCACAGCGAUGUCAGGUAGUAAAACGCGGUUUUUCUUGGUUUCUUGGCUCAAACAAAACGAUGGAGCUGACGCGCCGCUCUCCCUCACUGCAGUGAGCCAUGCCGACGAGCACGAGAUAUCUCUGUGCGAUCCCAACUCCGAGGACGACCGGCGGCGUCGGAAGAUCGGGUCGCUGCCGCGGAAGGCUAUCCAUGCGCUGCGCAAGAAGCGCGCCCGGCGGCGCGUCACUGACUUCCGGUUCCCCGCGGCCAUCUCCAUCGAGGACGUCCGCGACGCCGAGGAGGAGCGCGCCGUCGCCGCCUUCCGCGACCGUCUCGCCGCGCACCGCCUCCUCCCGGACAAGCACGACGACUACCACAUGAUGCUGAGGUCCGAUCGAUUGCAGGGGAGGGGAAAGCCCUCGUUCUAGCUAUUCCCCCAUUUGCCAUUAAUGACUUCAUCCUGUGCGUUUUCUUGAUGAUAAAUGCAGGUUUCUGAAAGCCAGGAAGUUCGAUUCCGAGAAGGCGAUGCAAAUGUGGUCGGAGAUGCUGAGGUGGAGGAAAGAGUUUGGUGCCGACACGAUCUUGGAGGUGAUGAGAGACUUCAGAUUCACAGUUUUAUUUCACAAGUUCUCAAAGCUGUAUGAUUUUUGGUUUCUUCCAUUCAUGGACAAUCGCGGAUUCAUUUUGUCAGGACUUUGAGUUCGACGAGCUCGACGAUGUACUCCAGUACUAUCCUCAGGGCUACCAUGGCGUCGACCGCGAAGGCAGGCCGGUGUACAUUGAGAGGCUGGGCAAAGUUGAUCCCAACAAGCUCAUGCAGAUCACCACGGUGGAUCGCUACAUCAAGUACCAUGUGCAGGAAUUCGAGAGGGCCUUCAGGGAGAGGUUCCCUGCCUGCACACUGGCAGCCAAGAGGCACAUUGACUCCACUACCACUAUACUGGACGUCCAAGGCGUGGUAUGCUAAUGGCCCUGUGAUUGGGUGGAAACAUUCAGUUUUCAUACUGUCAGAUACUCAGUUUCUUACUGUUGUUGCAGGGGUUCAAGAAUUUCUCAAAGACCGCAAGGGAGCUUGUCCAACGUAUGCAGAGAGUAGACAGUGACUACUAUCCUGAGGUACUCGUGCAUUUGAAUGAAUGUGCUGUGCCAGGUUGUUUUGGUUGAGCAACCUUCCUAACUGAAGAUAAAUUUGCAGACGCUACAUCAGAUGUAUGUUGUGAAUGCAGGCAGUGGGUUUAAACUGAUCUGGAACAGUAUUAAGGGAUUCCUUGACCCAAAAACUUCUUCCAAGAUCCAUGUACGCUCGAUGAGUGAUCUUCUAACAUGGCUCAUGUUCCAUAUAAAUUAAUGCUGCGGAAUAAGAACUUAUAUGUAUAUUCUUCAUAGGUUCUUGGUUCGAACUACCAGAGCAGACUUAUUGAAGUUAUUGACUCAAGGUUGGUGCCAACUUAUUGUGUCAUAAUUCUUUAAACUGUAUAUUCGGCUUAACAUCUUAUAAAAAUGCGUUUUUGUGUGUGUUUUUGCAGUGAAUUGCCAAAAUUUCUUGGCGGAUCAUGCACAUGUAGUGACAAGGGUGGUUGCCUCGGGUCUAAUAGGGGUCCAUGGAAUGACCCUGUCAUUAUGAAGGUAUCCUAAUAAAUUAUGUAAUUCUGUAACCAUGUCUUAUAUAGGUUCAUGCUUUUGCAAUACAUUAAUCCAGCAGAACUUGUGAACUUCAUGUGGAGAACAUUUUCCUGUGACAGGAGAAAUAUUUGCUUUCAAUUCCUCUUCAGGCAUGAAAGAGUAUGAUGAGACUCCAUCUAUAGACUAAUUACUAUGAAAUUUUUCAUUGUAGCUAAUACACAGUAUGGAAGGUGGUAGUACUAGAGAAAUAAAGCAAGUUUCUGACGGGGAUGAAAGAAGUGGCUCUUCCCUAAGGACAGAAAACCUGAAGGCAAGGUUCUGAAAUUCAAUUUUCCUAAACCAUUGCAACAUUUAAAGACCUGGCUACAGCUUUAGUUUCCCAGGACAUUGAUAUUAUUAUUUUUCUUGGAAGCAGGGUAUGCUCAGUGACAUAUCUAACGCUGAAUCUGAGUCGGAUGUUGAUGAUGUUGGUUUAACAGUUGUCCAAAAGAGUACAGACCACAGUUUACUUACCCCAGUUCAUGAAGAAGUAUGUGUCGUGUUAAUUUAUCGAAUUCAAAUCAUUAUUUACCUUAACUAGGAUAAGCUUUGUUCUCUGUGUCCAGUUUCUAUAAUAUCUUGUAUCAAUAGUACCUUCUGUGAGCUGAUUUUGUAUCUAAUGCUUCCUUAGGUCAAGGGGUCAGAUUCUUCGAUAUUCUGUAGUUCUGGCAGUAAGCAUCUCCUAGACAUGACUCCUCCCCAGGGAUCCCCUCCAAUGGAGGUGCCCAUUCAAUUGACCUGCCAGAAAUAUUUUCCUACCUUUGGAUGGCUAAACAAUUUAGGUAUAUCGUCUCCUCUUACUUUUUUCCUUGAACAUGCAUCUUUUUCUUGUGAUAUAAGCUUUCCUCUAUUAAAAAGUAAGUGAAUGUCUACUGCUUCAACUUUAAAACAUUGAAAACAGUUCAUUUUGUUGAACAAAAUGUUCCUCGGUAAACAAUUAUAACAUGAAUUUAUCAUUUCCAUCUGCAUGAUGUCUUUGUAAAAAAAAAUACUAUUAAAAAAAGUAAGUAAAUGCUUAUUUCAUUGAACUGUUCAUUGUGUUGAACAAAAUAUUCCUCGGUAAACAAAUAUAAUCUGAAUUUGUCAUUUCCAUCUCCAUGAUGUCUUUACCAAAACAUUACUAGUUAAUAAUAGUAAUUGAACCAUCUGAUAUAAGCUUUCCAUUAUUAAAAAAGAAAAGUGAAUGGCUAUUGCUUCAACUUAAGAGCAUUUUAAACUGUUCAUUGUGUUGAAUAAAAUAUUCCUAUGUAAACAAUUCUGAAUCUGGAUUUGCCAUUUCCGCCUACAUAAUGUCUUUACCAUAAAUUCAGUUACUGUUAACUUUCUUUGAAAAUUACUGUUCUUCCUGUGUAAUUUCAGGGAGUACUUAUAUUAGUUUGCAUGGUACAUCUGCUGGAAGGACUUUGGAAAACCUUGUUACUGGACUGAUCGCAGUCUUGAUCAGAAUAUCAUCUUUCUUCCACCUUUUCGUCUAUAGACAAGAAAGAUUUCUAGAAAAUGUCCAUCCUUAUGCUGCAUCAGAGCAACCAAAACCACAAGUUGUAAGAGAAGAGGACAUGAGUGCUUGCUUACAGCGUCUCAAGAAGCUCGAGUCACUGUGCGAUCACCUCAUGAGCAAACCUCCAGAUAUGCCGAAAGAGAAAGAACUUCUAUUGUUGCAGUCCUUCGAUCGGAUUAAAUCCCUUGAGGCUGAACUGGACAUGACGAAAAAAGUAAGUUAUUUUUCCUACUAAUUACUUUGUAGAUUCAUAGCAUAUGAUUGUCGUAGAAGGUCAUUCCUGGGCAAAAUCUGCCCUGUCACAAUAAUUCCCGAUUCUCUUGUGUUGUUAGUUUGUUACAUUUGUAUUUUUUUUUGUUGCGAUCAUCCUCAUUAUCAGAGUGAUUUAUCUUUACUACUGGUUUAUGAUUGAUUCGUCUUGCAACAUGUUUUAAGAUCUAGUAUGAUCUAUGCACUUCAGAGUAACAUAUGGUUUUUGGUUUUGCCAGUCUAUGGAUUAAGAAACCUGCUAUGUUCUUACUGCCCUGUAUUGGCAGCACCUUUUUAGUGUGCUCCCCUGAUGCCAUCAAUUGUCCUUGUGUUGCAUCGCCUUUUGUAGAACUCAUACCAUUGCUGAAGUUUCUUUCAAUGGGCAUGCAUGUUUGCAGUUAAUAGCUCUAACCCGUGUCUCGUAUCUCACCAGGCGUUGCAGGCUGCCGUGGAAAAGCAGAUGGAAUUGGUGGAUACGGUGGAGGCUCUGCAGCACCGAUCGUCUAGCGUUAGGGUAAGCCACUCGUGAGAAUUCCUUUGUAGGCUUGUUGAUGCAAACUUACCUGAUGUUAUAUUUGGCGAAACUGAAUAUACCAUUCUGAAUUUCUCAUUACUUGUGCAGCGGAGAUUUUGCUGUUCAUAGGAGUAGAUCGUCCUUGCGCCGAAGAUGUCUGGGUUAGCUUUUUACUCGACUUUUGAAACAUGGUGCCGCCCUGUAUGCGCGCAUGUAAAUUGAUCAGUUUUUGUAGCUACUAGCACCAGUGUCCUGCUUGUUACACUCUGGCUUCUGUGACUGAUCUACAGAGCCUUGCAGGAAUGGGUUGAAUGCCAAAGCUUUCGGGUGUGUUUGUUUUGCUGGCUUCCUUCUGGAAAUAAACCAAACUAGUCUAAGUCUGGUCCUAAUAAGGCCUUGAUUAGUUUCAAUUUUUUUUUUAGAAAAACGACACUGUAGCACUUUUGUUUUUAUUGGAUAAACAUUGUCCAAUCAUAAAGUACCUAGGCUUAAAAGAUUUGUCUCGCGAUUUACAGACAAACUGUGUAAUUAGUUUUUAUUUCUAUCUAUAUUUAAUGCUCUAUGCAUGUGCCGCAAGAUUCGAUGUGACGGGGAAUUUUGAAAAGUUUUGAGUUUUUGGGGUGAAUUAAACAAGGCUUAGAAAGCACAUGCAUGAAGCAUUAGAUAUAGACGAAAAUAAAAACUAAUUGCACAGUUUGCCUGUAAAUCACGAGAUGAAUCUUUUGAGCCUAGUUAGUCCAUGAUCAGAUAAUAUUUGUCAAAUAAAAACGAAAAUACUACAGUACCGAAAUUUAAAUUUUUUUUGGGAACUGAACAAGACCUAAGCUAAAAUAGAUUUUUUUUUGUUGCAUACUUUAUUUAGGCCUUGUUUAGAUCCAAUUUUUUUUAGAUUUUGACACUGUAUUACUUUUAUUUUUUAUUUAAUAAACAUUGUUCAAUCAUAGAGUAACUAGACUUAAAAGAUUUGUUUGUUUUCAUCUAUAUUUAAUACUCUAUACACGUGUCGUAAGAUUCAAUAUGACAGAAAAUUUUGAGAAGUUUUUUAUUUUUAGGUGAACUAAACAAGGCCUUAGCUAACAACUAGUGUAUUUGGUUGGUUGGUUUGACUUGGAUAGAGUCACCUUUCUUCACCACCUUUGAGACAAUUCGUCAAACACGUGAACUUCACCACCAGGCGUUUCCACCGCCGCUCCUGCUUGUGCGGUGCCCAUGACGCGGAGGAGCACGCCGCCGACGCCGACAAGGAGGAACUCGCCUUGGCCAGCCUGCUCGCCUGCCCCCUCUUCCUCUGCUUCUCGCCAUUGGCCUCUUCCUCUGCUUCUCGCCAUUGGCGCUGCUCCUCUCCCCCACAUCCAUGCCGACCUCAGGCCUGUCCCUCUGCCGCUCCCGCCCCUGGCCCUGGGCGCGCGAGACGAGAUCCUCCGGCAUCUCCCGCUUGUUGCCGCGCAGGACUGCUGCGCAGGACGACGUAGGUUUAGGCCUCACCUUGAAAACCAAAAUUUUUUAAGAGAUCUUAUGGCACAUACAUGAAAUAUUAAAUAUAGACGAAAACAAAAACUAAUUACACAGUUUACCUGUAAAUCACGAGAUGAAUAUUUUGAUCCAUGAUUAAAUAAUAUUUGUUAUAAAUAAACGAAAGUGCUACAGUAUCGAAAAUUUUUCACUUUUGUGAACUAAACAGGCCUUAGUGGCUUCGGCUGCCUCCUCCGUCGCGUGACGAGGACGUGACCCGGGCCACGAGGGCGGCACGCCUUGGUCUUCCUGUAGGUCUCCUCAAACAGCUUGCGUAACUAGGAACCAAACAGAAACAGGCUCUUUGUUGUCUUGUGCUGCCUACCUUCUUCCACUGUGAACGGCAGGAUCUUGACGAAAAUACGUGUCGUUGAAUCGUGCCAUGUGCCCUUGGCUUUCUGAACCGUCCAUAGCACUGGCUAUUUUUGAACACUCGCUUCCCAUUUUGAGUUUUUGACUCGGCCCGCGCGCGCCGCCGCCAACCUCUGCUCUGCCCGCGCCCCCGCCUCCCUCCACCUCCGCGUGACCCUCGCUUCGUCACGCUGCCUCCCGCACGUUUCUGCUCGCCAACCCCCCCUCCUCGCGUCCUCGCACACGCACUGCGCGCCGUGUCCUCGAUCUCUCCUCUCCUCUCCCCUCCCCUCCCUCCCUUUCUCUUCCACGGACACCGGGAGGAGAAGGGUUGAUCCGAUCGGGGAGGAGGCGUGGCCAGAGAUGGGUCCCCACGGAGGCAGCAUUGCGCUCCGCGCGGUCGUGCUCGCCGCCGUCCUCGGCUUCGCCGCCGCCGGGUUCAUCUCGAGUCGGUUACCUUCCGAUACGCAUACGCCGUGGAUCUCGUCUCGGGUUUCCUUCCUGGUUCGCCUUCUAACGCGCCCCCCGCCGUGGAUGCAGAUGACGCGCUGCUGGAUCGCGGGCACGACACCACCGGCCGGAGCCUGCUGCAGGCCAAGAAAGGUGCCCGCAUUUUUCACCUCUUUUCUCGGGGGCUCUGUUCCGUUCUUGAUCUCUGAUUCUCUGCCGCCGCCGCCGGCGGCGGCCGUCUGAUCUGGUUCGCGUCUGGGGACAGAUUGCCCGGUGAGCUUCGAGGGCGCCAACUACACGAUCAUCACGAGCCGGUGCAAGGGCCCGCUGUACCAGCCGACGCUGUGCUGCGGCGCGCUCAAGGACUUCGCGUGCCCCUACGCCACCUACAUCAACGACGUCACGACCAACUGCGCCGCCACCAUGUUCAGCUACAUCAACCUCUACGGCAAGUACCCGCCGGGCCUCUUCGCCAACACCUGCCACGAGGGCGACAAGGGCCUCGCGUGCCCCGAGGACACCCCGCAGGUCCAGCCCGGGCAGAAGGCCUCCGGCGCGGCCGCCGUCGCCGCCGCGCCCGCCGCGGCCCUGGCCGCCGCGCUGGCCGCCUCGUUGCUCGUGUCCUGCUGAGAGACCCCGGAUGGCCAUUGUGAACAGAGCAGGGAGGAGGCUUUGAGUUUGAGGCCGUGACAGCGCAACCGACUGCGUUUCUGUACCACUUUCUUUUUCUGGAUGGAUGGUUCUCAAGAUGUCUGGAUAUGUUUUAUAUCUGAAUGAAAUCCGAAAAGGGUGGUAGACGGGCAAAGCUAACCAGCUAAACUCUGCUUUCACUUUUUGAACAUGGUAAAAUUUCGUUAACCGUAGGAGUAAAGAGCAGGCAGUGCUGUCACCAGGUUGAAGACUUUGUGAUCAUCUCUGGAUUUAGUUUUACACUACAUACAGGGGCUCUGAUAGUCUGAUUACGCUCGAGUACAGUCCCUUCUGAAAAAUUAGGCAUUAUGCACAGGAGUACAUAUCAUUUCCUUGUCAGACAUUAGUUAUUUUCGCCAUUUUUUUAUCUCAGGAAAAAAAGGACACGUUCUAAAAUUGUAGCCUUGAGAAUAACCAAGAGUUCAUCCAGUGCAUCUUUAUAGUGAAUUUUCUUGUUAAUCUGAAGCUCUGAACAAGCUGAACCAAGUAAUAGAAUGCAGAGUUGCACGAAUUCACAGCCAUGCCAUUCACCGUGGCUCCCUGACCACCCAAGUAGAGGGGAAAAAACUUGCCAAAUGCAAAGACAGUGACAUCGCUACCGGUGAAAAAUGGCCUGCUGGGAUACCUUAUCCGGCGCCCUCCAAUGGGCACACGCCAUGGCCGCACCUCCAAAUCCUCGUCUCCUCCACCACUAACCUCGCAUUCCCGCGGCCCCACCAUAUCUGCCAAGUCAGCAUCCCACUAUAUACCCAACUCCAUUAAUCAAGCAGACACGUCGUAGCUGCCAAGAUCAAGAGGAAACACAAACACCCACAGCCGCCGCGCCUUCCAGUACUCGAGGAAGAGGAACACCAGCAGCGCCAUGGCCACAUCGACCGCCGCCGUGCUGUCCCCGCCGUCCGUGGCCGGGCUCCGCCUGGCGCCGUCCCCCCGCCGGGCGGCGCGCGUGGCGUUCCGCGCGGCGCCGGCGCGGCGGUCCGUGGCGGCGCGCGCGGAGCUGAGCGCGUCGCUGGUGAUCAGCCUGAGCACGGGCGUGUCGCUGUUCCUGGGCCGCUUCGUCUUCUUCAACUUCCAGCGGGAGAACGUGGCGAAGCAGGUGCCCGCGCAGAACGGCAAGACGCACUUCGACGCCGGCGACGAGCGCGCCAAGGAGUUCGCGGCCCUGCUCAAGUCCAACGACCCCGUGGGCUUCAACCUCGUCGACGUCCUCGCCUGGGGCUCGCUCGGCCACAUCGUCGCCUACUACAUCCUCGCCACCUCCAGCAACGGAUACGACCCCAACUUCUUCUGAGCGCCGGCUGGCCGUGUUCUUGAGCUUGUAUUCUACUCCGUGUGUGUGUCUGGCUCUGCGCCAUGCAUGUAUCUGAUGCUCAAAGAUU
rnacentral:lncRNA from 1 species